GGUGGUUCUCCGGUGACGCACCCGAGAAUCGGGCUCACUCCUCUCUGGUUCCAGGUGCAUCACCAGAGAACAGCU
rfam:Myotis davidii contig94758, whole genome shotgun sequence.